AUUUUUGGCUGAUUUCUCCUGAUUUUUUUCCGUCUCUUUGUUGAUUUUGUGCCUGAUUCUUUGCAGUCCACCAUUUGUUUUCAAGAAUCUAAUUUUCUUAAUUUCUUUCGUUUCCUUUUGCAUUGUUUUCUUGGAUAAUGAAGGAGAGCAUGGAAAAUCCCCUCCAUCUCAAGUCCUUGAAUCACAUCUCGCUUUUGUGCAGAUCAGUUGAGGAAUCCAUUGAUUUCUAUCAGAAUGUUCUUGGGUUUGUGCCAAUUAGGAGGCCAGGAUCUUUUGACUUUGAUGGAGCUUGGCUAUUUGGCUAUGGAAUUGGAAUUCAUCUAUUGCAAUCAGAAGAUCCAAAGAACAUGCCCAAGAAAAGUAAUAUUAAUCCCAAAGACAAUCAUAUUUCUUUCCAGUGUGAAAGCAUGGGGGCAGUGGAGAA
rnacentral:misc_RNA from 1 species